rnacentral:tRNA from 1 species
ACAAAGAAAGGGGAUUUCAGCCCCUACCCCUAGCUCCCAAAGCUAGGAUCCUAACUUAGACUAUUNCUUG